rnacentral:tRNA from 1 species
UCCGGUAUGGUCUAGUGUUUAGGAUACCUGGCUCUUACCCAGGAGGCUCGGGUUUGAUUCCCGGUACCGGAA